GCGUUGUCCGGAAUCAUUGGGCGUAAAGCGCGUGUAGGCGGCUUGGUAAGUCCGCUCUGAAAGCCCGGGGCUCAACCCCGGGAGGCGGGUGGAUACUGUCAAGCUCGAGUCCGGAAGAGGCGAGUGGAAUUCCUGGUGUAGCGGUGAAAUGCGCAGAUAUCAGGAGGAACACCAAUGGCGAAGGCAGCUCGCUGGGACGUGACUGACGCUGAGACGCGAAAGCGUG
rnacentral:rRNA from 1 species